rnacentral:lncRNA from 1 species
CAAUGAAUCAUUUGAAGCCAAAGUACAGCCAGCCCCACCCCCCUCCCCCAGCAGGUGGACGACUGCAUGGGGCUCCUCCACUCACCAAAAGCAAGAGGAAGGAGGAGCAAGGGCAACCCUCCAGCUGCCCUACCAUGCAUCAGAAAGCCAGAAAUGGGCAGCACGCUGUUUCCAGCCAACAGACCAGCCACACCAGGUACCACCGCAAAACAUGCAGAAGCGGCAGGCAGCGAGAAAGAGCUGGAGCCAGCACCACAGGGCAGGAGCAAGCCGGAGGAGCUCUUUACGCCGUGUGAUCACCAGGAAAUGAGGAAAGACCCAUGGGUACCAGGCCCUGGGUUAGGUGCUGUACCGUCUUAUUGCCUCUGAUCCUCGCAGUGGUCUCAUGAGAAAGUUAAUGACAAAUCCAGCCAGAGUGAACAGAUGGAGUGACAAGUGACAGCCCAUCUUAUAUAUAUGAAUGUUUGUGCUUCCCCAUCUGCGUGAGAUGUGUCCAUUGACUUGCUUUGACCAAUGGGGGAAGACACGUGUGUCUUCUUUGUGUAAAAGAACUGCUUUGUUCUCCACCACUUUCUUGCCCUUGCUACAGCAAUGGGAGACUCCCAAUGAUGGAGCCUUCAUCAGCCUGAGUCUCUGAGUGAGGAUUUUGUAGAGAAGAGCCCCUCACAAAUCUAAAGAUGGACGUGUCACAUAAGUGAGAAAUAAACCAUGGAUUUAAGUCAUGGAAAUGUGUUGUUGUUAUUGGAGCAAAGCUUAGCCUACCCG